rnacentral:rRNA from 1 species
CCUACGGGGGGCUGCAGUCGAGAAUCAUUCACAAUGGGGGAAACCCUGAUGGUGCGACGCCGCGUGGGGGAAUGAAGGUCUUCGGAUUGUAAACCCCUGUCAUGUGGGAGCAAAUUAAAAAGAUAGUACCACAAGAGGAAGAGACGUCUAACUCAGUGCCAGCAGCCGCGGUAAUACAGAGGUCUCAAGCGUUGUUCGGAAUCACUGGGCGUAAAGCGUGCGUAGGCUGUUUCGUAAGUCGUGUGUGAAAGGCGCGGGCUCAACCCGCGGACGGCACAUGAUACUGAGAGACUAGAGUGAUGGAGGGGGAAGCGGAAUUCUCGGUGUAGCAGUGAAAUGCGUAGAUAUCGGGAGGAACACUAGUGGCGAAGGCGGGUUCCUGGACAUUAACUGACGCUGAGGCACGAAGGCCAGGGGAGCGAAAGGGAUUAGAUACCCGAGUAGUC